CUGCUGGUAGCUGAAAAGCUGAAAUGCAAAAAGUGGGACAACACGAAAGAUGUUAAGAGGAGCAGGAAGACCAGCCGUGAAAAUGCCUCAGCACUGAAUCCCUGAACAACAAACCAGCAAUCGCUGCCCAGGCUCUCAGCCCUGGAGGUGGAUGCAGCUUUCUUCAUUCCUCAAAGCCUGAGCCCUUGCUCCUCCAGUGGUCCGCCCUCUCACUCAACCAAUAUUCCACCAACACGAAACUGGGAACAGCACAGAUGUCCAUCAAAAGGAGAAUGGAUAAACAAACUGGAGCAUAUUCAUACAGAGAAAUACAAUUCAGCAAUUAAAAAAUAAGGACUUACUGAUACAUCCAACCAUACGGAUGAAUUGCCAAAAUAUUCUGCUAAGUGAAUGAAGCCUUCACAGAAAAGAGUGGGUAUUACACAAUUCCAUUUAUUUGAAAUUCCAGAAAAACUAAACUCAUCUAUGGAGAAAAAAAUUUCAGAAGAAUGGUGGGGGUGGGAGGGUAGGCAGGUUUGGACUGGUGGAACAUGACAGAACUUUCUGGAAUGAUGUGAACGCUCUGUAUCAUUAUAAGAGUGUGCUUUUGAUCAAAUCCACCCCUCAACAUUAGAUGGAGGGAUGGAAGUGAGUGUGGCCCAUGGCAGAGCACUUGUCUAGUACAGUACUCUGAGAGCUACUGUAAAAAGUAGUAAAUGAUAAAAAAUAAAAUGCUACAGAAAACUUGGUAUAUCAAAAUUAAAUAUUUAAUCUUUGCUUUGUAUAUUUCAAUUAUUUGCUUUGUAUUAUUCAAUUCCCAGGACCACCAACCUCUCCCCCUCCCUGAACCAACCCAAACCAAAACAAAUUAGGUAGGUAUCUUAUAGAUGUGCAGACUGGUGGCUUGAAUUUCAGCAGUAAUUGCAAAUGAUGAUUCUGUAGGCACUUACUAGAGCACACUCUAACCACCACAGGUCACUGUGGGAUUUGGGCUGGUAAGGCCCAAGCACCUGUAAUGUUCCUCUCCACAAACUGAAUGUCUACUGGGCACUAUGCUAAUGUGCCUUUGGGCAUUACUGUUUUUAUAUAACUUUUAAGUUCACAUAGCAUUUAUUGUAACACUUUUUCAGUUAAUUUACAACAUAUUUCUUAGUUCCUAAUCUUAGUUCCUAAUCAAAUAAGAAUCCUUUGCUUCUUGGGAAAGGCUACUGGCUAUCAGGUAUCCUGCCUAAGAAAGCCCUCAGAUGUGUGUAUCAUUAGUGCAUUUCACGUGUUUGUAUAUGUUUAUAAUGCUCCAUACCCACAAAAUUUGCUCAACUAUCAUUCUCUAAUAAAAGCUAUGACUGCAUCUCAUAAAACUUAAGCACUUUUUAAUAAAAAGUUUUUAUUAUACAUUGGAAACCAGGCAUAUACAUAAUACUACCUUUACAAAUGUGAUUCUUUACACAUAUUUAAGGUACUGCUAUGUUAUAUAGACUGAUUUUAAAUGCCAAGUUAAAAUCGGAGAAAAGCAAAAGAACCUCCCAUAAGUAUGAGCUCGUUCUACAUGCAAAUUAUAAUGCAG